rnacentral:rRNA from 1 species
CUCCCAAACCCCUGUGAACAUACCAAUUGUUGCCUCGGCGGAUCAGCCCGCUCCCGGUAAAACGGGACGGCCCGCCAGAGGACCCCUAAACUCUGUUUCUAUAUGUAACUUCUGAGUAAAACCAUAAAUAAAUCAAAACUUUCAACAACGGAUCUCUUGGUUCUGGCAUCGAUGAAGAACGCAGCAAAAUGCGAUAAGUAAUGUGAAUUGCAGAAUUCAGUGAAUCAUCGAAUCUUUGAACGCACAUUGCGCCCGCCAGUAUUCUGGCGGGCAUGCCUGUUCGAGCGUCAUUUCAACCCUCAAGCCCCCGGGUUUGGUGUUGGGGAUCGGCGAGCCCUUGCGGCAAGCCGGCCCCGAAAUCUAGUGGCGGUCUCGCUGCAGCUUCCAUUGCGUAGUAGUAAAACCCUCGCAACUGGUACGCGGCGCGGCCAAGCCGUUAAACCCCCAACUUCUGAAUGUUGACCUCGGAUCAGGUAGGAA